rnacentral:rRNA from 1 species
AGGGUGUAAACGCUGCAGACUUGGUGUUGGGAACCCUUCGGGGUGCUCAGUGCCGGAGAGAAGUUGUUAAGUCUGCUACUUGGGGAGUACGUCCGCAAGGAUGAAACUUAAAGGAAUUGGCGGGGGAGCACCGCAACGGGAGGAGCGUGCAGUUUAAUUGGAUUCAACGCCGAAAAACUCACCGGAUAAGACAGCGGAAUGAUUGCCGGGCUGAAGACUCUGCAUGACUAGCUGAGAGGAGGUGCAUGGCGUAGACGUCU